rnacentral:rRNA from 1 species
UACGGGGGGUGCGAGCGUUGUUCGGAAUCACUGGGCGUAAAGGGCGCGUAGGUGGCUUUGUAAGUUUGCGGUGAAAGCCCGGGGCUCAACCCCGGGUCUGCCGUGAAUACUGCAAGGCUUGAGUACUGUAGAGGCAGGUAGAAUAUCGGGUGUAGCGGUGGAAUGCGUAGAGAUCCGAUAGAAGACCGGUGGCGAAGGCGGCCUGCUGGGCAGUAGCUGACACUGAGGCGCGACAGCGUGGGGAGCAAACAGG